rnacentral:tRNA from 1 species
GGGAGGGUGGUCUAACGGUCAGAACGCUGGCCUUGUAAUCCUGGGGUCUCGGGUUCGAUUCCCGGCGGUGCCC